rnacentral:rRNA from 11 species
GUAUAGCUUUAGAGGGCCUAAAGAUCCUAAAUGAAUUGGAUUCUGUCAGAUCUUAGAAACUAAGCAGGGUCACCCCUGGUUAGUACUUCGAUCAGAGACUGCCAGUGAAUGCUAGGUGCUGUAGACU